rnacentral:lncRNA from 1 species
GUGGCCUUCAAGCUGAUGCCCAUGUGCCCAGGGUACAGAGGGGCAAACCGUGGAAAAGAAUUUGGCCAGAUCAUCAGGGCCACGGCGCCAGGCCUGACACAGAUAAGGCCCCGGGCCACGCUGACCUGGUGUUACAGGAAAUGAUACUGGAGUUGAAAUACGAAGUGUUGUAUCUCCCAACCUGCUAACUAUACCAUAGAAAUGGAAGAACAAGUCCUAGGGAUGACGGAGGUUAAGAGUUAGACCUUUAUUGAUAGGACAGCUCCUGAGGGGCAGCAGGGGACCCGAGUGGGUAGCUGGAGACCCCAAUCCGUAAGGGAGUUUUAUAGGGUGAAACCCACAUGGGCCACGCCAUGAGCACCCAAUAAAGUUACAAGCGUAGUCACCUAGGUAACGGUGUCCAAUUGGGAAGCAAGUCAUGAACCAAGGGUGGAUGGAGAGAACAAGGAUUCUCCUAGGGGACAGUGGGUCUAGAGGUCUCGUCACGCCCAGGGCGGCCGAUGUCGUCUAGGCUUCGUUAGGCCCAGGUUGGUCCUUUGAGGAAGUGUGCAGGUCUGGUCAUUGAGUCUUUAUCCUGAGGCCCGAGUUUGGUUCUCAGCCCAGGUGUCUCUGGUGCUGCUGUGGUGUUUCGCCUUUGUCUUGUCCUGACCGUCUGAGGACCCAGCCCUAUCUGAUGCCUGUGAUGUUCCUGCCUGACUCAUCUGCCCAUAAUACUGGGGCCUCACAUCAGGAGAUGGACGGGUGUCGGAGGACACUGGGGACGCAGCUGUGGGCCUUUUCAGGGAUUCCACGGAUGCUGCCACGCGCCCCCCGGUGGCGCUGGGCUCUCACUGCGGCAGACGCUGUGCUCGCCUGCACAACCAGGAGGGGCCAGGUCAGUGGGCGGCACAACAGGAAGGAGAGAUGGUGCUGGGGGCCUGCGCCUGGCCAGCAGGCGGUGGCCAGGAGGCAUGAGGGAAACUCCAAUGGAAUUAAGCGUCAUAGAUGGGGAAAAACGGUAUAUAAGGAAACAAAACUUCUCUUCGGGGCUCUCAAGACUGACAGGAGUCACUCACUGAAGCGCCGGCAUCGUCAAGAGCCGCUUUUGCUCCUGUCUUCCUGUUAAAGAGUUACCUGUGCUGGGGCCCUGUUUCCUGCUUCACGUCCACCUCAAUCUGGGCAGCACCCCAGGCCAAGCGGAGGAGAAACAGAAAUAAAAGUAACAAAGACUCAGGAAAUCUCUGAAGUGCCAGGCCAAAGCACCUGUGCUAGAUCCUGUAGCCCAGCCUUCACUUUCCCCCACUCAAAGGAGUUGCAGGUUGUCAGAGCUCUCUGGCAGUCAUUUCUGGCAAUCGCCCAGAGAUCCAUUGACAGGCCUCGGGGUAGGGUGCAUGUCUUACAAAGUCUGAAAACCUGGUUUAUCUUGGCUCUUCCUAACCCUCCGCAGCCCGGUACAUCUUUCCAGUUCUGUCACACUCCUUUCUGCUGGCAUGGACCCAAGAACUUUCCACCGUUAACUGUAAUAAAUGUAGCCACUUUUUCUUUGACCACUGGGUGUGUGUUUGCAAUUCUUUCCUCACCAGACACAAGGGCCUGGAGUCUAUCACCGGAUCAGGAGGAGCCAUCAAGGCUAGGGACUGGCUGAGCCGACCUGACACAUCCUUGAAGGAUCAGGUCAGCAUGGUGGGCUCUUGGGGGGGGGGGGAAUCUGUCAGCUGUGGGGGAAUCAGAAAAACUGAACUACGAGGGCCGAGGAUG